UACGUAGGGGGCGAGCGUUGUUCGGAAUUAUUGGGCGUAAAGAGCUCGUAGGCGGUUUGUCGCGUCGGCUGUGAAAACCUGGGGCUCAACCCCGGGCCUGCAGUCGAUACGGGCAAACUAGAGUGCGGUAGGGGAGACUGGAAUUCCUGGUGUAGCGGUGAAAUGCGUAGAGAUCCGGAGGAACACCGACGGCGUAAGCAGCGCCCUAAACGAGUACUGACGCUCAGGCACGAAAGCUGGGGGAGCAAACAGG
rnacentral:rRNA from 1 species